UACGAAGGGGGCUAGCGUUGUUCGGAAUUACUGGGCGUAAAGGGCCAGUAGGCGGCCAACUAAGUCCGACGUGAAAUCCCAAGGCUUAACCUUGGAACUGCGUCGGAUACUGGAUGGCUUGAAUCCGGGAGAGGGAUGCAGAAUUCCAGGUGUAGCGGUGAAAUGCGUAGAUAUCUGGAGGAAUACCGGUGGCGAAGGCGGCAUCCUGGACCGGCAUUGACGCUGAGGAGCGAAAGCUAGGGGAGCAAACGGG
rnacentral:rRNA from 1 species